rnacentral:rRNA from 1 species
AUUGAACGCUGGCGGCAUGCCUUACACAUGCAAGUCGAACGGCAGCACGGGGCAACCUGGUGGCGAGUGGCGAACGGGUGAGUAAUGCAUCGGAACGUGCCAUUGAGUGGGGGAUAACGUAGCGAAAGUUGCGCUAAUACCGCAUAUUCUGUGAGCAGGAAAGCAGGGGACCGCAAGGCCUUGCGCUCUUUGAGCGGCCGAUGUCAGAUUAGCUAGUUGGUGAGGUAACGGCUUACCAAGGCGACGAUCUGUAGCGGGUCUGAGAGGAUGAUCCGCCACACUGGAACUGAGACACGGUCCAGACUCCUACGGAGGCAGCAGUGGGAAUUUUGGACAAUGGGCGCAAGCCUGAUCCAGCCAUGCCGCGUGAGUGAAGAAGGCC